CUAAAAACAAUGCUCCAAUCGUUUUUAAAGUUGAUUGAUGACUAUCAUCCUAUAUUUUUGGAAAUACCGUAUGAUGAGCCAGCUUAUUGUGGGAAGGAAAAGUUCCAUAUGCUCAAUGUAUUGAACUUAUUGAUGAUGACUUAUGCAACUGCAGGAGUCUGAAUCUUCUUCGAACACAAGAGGAAAUACCGUAUAAUGAGCGACCUUAUUGUGGGAAAGAAAAGUUCCAUAUGGC